rnacentral:pre_miRNA from 1 species
CGUGCACCAGUGGGGUCCCUCGGCCUGGCCUGCGCUCUCUCGAAAUCUGGGACCCCUUGGGGAAUGUCGAAGAGCCGGUUUCGGCCCGAUCCCUGCAGGCCAGGCUGAGGGACCCCACUGGUGCACG